rnacentral:rRNA from 1 species
AGUGAACGCUGGCGGUAGGCCUAACACAUGCAAGUCGAACGGCAGCACAGUAAGAGCUUGCUCUUACGGGUGGCGAGUGGCGGACGGGUGAGGAAUACAUCGGAAUCUACUUUUUCGUGGGGGAUAACGUAGGGAAACUUACGCUAAUACCGCAUACGACCUACGGGUGAAAGCAGGGGAUCUUCGGACCUUGCGCGAUUGAAUGAGCCGAUGUCGGAUUAGCUAGUUGGCGGGGUAAAGGCCCACCAAGGCGACGAUCCGUAGCUGGUCUGAGAGGAUGGUCGGCCACACUGGAACUGAGACACGGACCAGACUCCUACGGGAGGCAGCAGUGGGGAAUAUUGGACAAUGGGCGCAAGCCUGAUCCAGCCAUACCGCGUGGGUGAAGAAGGCCUUCGGGUUGUAAAGCCCUUUUGUUGGGAAAGAAAAGCAGCAGGUUAAUACCCCGCUGUUCUGACGGUACCCAAAGAAUAAGCACCGGCUAACUUCGUG